rnacentral:rRNA from 1 species
UGCAUGGAAUAAUGGAACAAGGUUUCGGCUGAGUUUUAUUGGUUUUGUCGGCAGAGACAAUGGUUAACAGGAACAGCUGGGGGCACUCGUAUCCCGGCGCGAGAGGUGAAAUUCGUGGACCGUCGGGAGACGCCCUAAAGCGAAGGCAUUUGCCAAGAGUGUUUUCAUUAAUCAAGAACGAAAGUCAGAGGUUCGAAGGCGAUUAGAUACCGCCCUAGUUCUGACCGUAAACGAUGCCAACUAUCAAUCUGCCAGCAGCUUCCAGUUGUUGGCAGGCGGAUCGACGGAAACGAAAGUUUUUCGGUUCCGGGGGAAGUAUGGUUGCAAAGCUGAAACUUAAAGGAAUUGACGGAAGGGCACCACCAGGAGUGGAGCUUGCGGCUUAAUUUGACUCAACACGGGAAACCUCACCCGGCCAGUACAUCAUAAGGAUUGACAGAUUGAAAGCUCUUUCAUGAUUUGAUGAAUGGUGGUGCAUGGCCGUUCUUAGUUCGUGGCGUGAGUCGUCUGCUUAAUUGCGAUAACGAGCGAGACUCCGAUUGUUAAAUAGCUGGCAGUUUACUUCGACUGUACAGCUUCUUAACGAGAUUCGCGUCUUCAAGGCGCAAGAAAUGGAGCAAUAACAGGUCUGUGAUGCCCUUAGAUGUUCGGGGCCGCACGCGUGCUACAAUGAUGGUAACAGCGUGAUUGUCCUCGCCCGAGAGGGCUUGGCAAACAGUUGAGAUAUUAUUAUGGCUGGAAUUGAGUGUUGAAAUUUCUCUCAUG